UUGUUAAUAUACAUUAUACACCCACCAACCAUACAUUUCAUAAUUAACUAAUUAACUGUAAAUGAGCUUUUGAAGUACAUGAGUUUCCAAACUCAAUUCUCACUGUGUUUUUUUCUUCUCAUCCUACAAAAUCUCUAUUACGGUAUUACCCUCAUGAACUAAACACUAUCAAUCAUCAUCACUUGUGAAAGUAUAUUCAAGUAUAUAAAUAUAUGAAUGGUCUAAAAGAAUCUUCUAAUUGGAUGGAUACAUAACCCUAUCGACUCAUUUCAUGAGUUUAUAGCCUUCCAUUCCCCCUCAUGCCUCAUCUACAACCCACCACAGUUUAAAUGCCACCUGGCACUUCCAUAUCUCUACUCAUGAAAUAGCCACCAAGCUUUCCUGAAUGAACAGAUUGACUGUUUCAGAUAUAAUGUAGGUAAUGAUUGAUUUUUUUUAAUGAUUUAAAUAUAAUCUAAUUAUCUUAAAAACAAGCUAUUUCAUCAGACUAUCAGAGGCUUAAAAGAUUGGAUAAAUUAAACCAAAAAAAAAAUGAUGAUAAUAAUAAUAAUUUAAAUGGUAGUAUAUAAUAUUUAGCAAUCUAGAAAAAAAUCCAUAAAAAAGAAGGGAGAAGAACACUUACUUCUAGUUCCAAACCAACAUUUUCUCUUCUUCCUCAAAGAGCUAGAAGGAAGCUUGGUGGCCAGAAGAGAAAAAAAUGGCAGUCUGCACAGUCUACUCUCCUCAUUCUCUCAAAUCCACAUGCCCAAUUCCAAAUACAUCAAGAAUCCAAUUGGGUUCUCAUCAGAAGCAAGUUAUUUUCUUCACAAGGAGAAAAGGCGGCAACUACAGAAGCAAUAAGUUAUCCGGUACCAUCACCUGUGAAGCAAACACAAUUGUUAUCGGUCUUGCAGCAGAUUCAGGAUGUGGAAAGAGCACAUUCAUGAGGAGACUUACUAGUGUAUUUGGUGGAGCAGCAUCACCUCCCAAGGGUGGGAAUCCAGACUCAAACACGCUUAUCAGUGACACGACAACUGUGAUAUGUCUUGAUGACUACCACUCUCUCGAUAGAUAUGGAAGAAAGGAGCAGGGUGUUACUG
rnacentral:lncRNA from 1 species